AUGGUAGGUGGGAUGAGCAGCACGUGCCCAUCAUCAUGGGUCAAGUGUUCUGUGGGCUUCGUGGAUAGUGGGUUGACCAUGUCCGUUACAAAGGGCGUAACGGUUCUGAAGAGUGCAGAACACGUUAAUGACGAGAUUCCGAAGCAUUUUCCCUUUUGCCCUCAUUUUCUAUACCUAAAAUUGUUUUCACUGUUUUUCUAUUCUCUCUGUCUGUCACCAUCACUCCCUUCUAUAAAUUCAAUCCAUCUUUACCUAUCAAACUUCCCCUUCUCUUCUUCCUCUGAGGAAUCUUGA